CACGUGCCGUUUGGGGGGUGACUUUGCGCGCACCCGAAAGCGUCGAGCAAACAGGAGACUUUGUUUUCACCCAAACCUCGGGCGACCGCCGCUGAAACCACCAUCGCCGCGGCACUUUUCUCCCCUCCCAUCCCAUCCCCCCUUUCGAUUCCCCCAUGAUUUCCUCUCCAAUGCAAUAAAGAAAGAAGAUGCAACAGCGAAAGCGACUGGUGCGAAUCUGAGGUGAAUGGCGUCGUUGUUUCGACCGCUGAUGUCGAGGGAGGGGGGGCGGUCGUACCCCCGCGUCUUCCUCAGCCGGAAGUCCUCCUCGCGCUACGCGCUCGCCCUGAUGAUGCUUCUCGUGCUCUCCGUUGUCCUUCUUCUCCUCCUUGCCCUCGGCAUCUUCUCCCUCCCCGUCCGCUCCGACUCCGCCCCGAAGUCCCAGGCCGACCCUCGCCUCCGCUCCAGGUCCCUCCGCGACGUGGAGGGUUUGGGGCAGCUGGGGCACCAGUGGACGGAGGUAAUCUCGUGGGAGCCACGAGCAUUCGUCUACCACAACUUUUUGUCUAAGGAAGAGUGUGAAUAUCUUAUUGAGCUGGCGAGACCUCAUAUGCAGAAGUCAACAGUUGCUGAUAGUGCUACUGGUCAGAGUAAAGACAGCAGGGUUCGUACAAGCACAGGCAUGUUUCUGCAUAGGGGACAAGAUAAGACAAUCAGGGCCAUCGAGAAAAGGAUAGCAGAAUAUACCUUUAUUCCAAUAGAGCAUGGAGAGGGGCUUCAAGUUCUGCAUUAUGAAGUUGGACAAAAGUAUGAACCCCACUUUGACUAUUUCCUUGAUGAAUAUAACGCUAAGAAUGGGGGUCAGAGGAUAGCUACUCUUCUGAUGUAUUUAUCAGAUGUUGAAGAAGGUGGGGAGACAAUUUUUCCCGAUGCCAAAAUAAGCAGCAGAUCAUUAUCAUGGUCCAAUGAGUUAUCUAAAUGUGGAGAGAAAGGUCUUUCUAUUAAGCCAAAGAUGGGAGAUGCAUUGCUUUUCUGGAGCAUGAAACCUGAUGCUUCUUUAGACCCUUUAAGUUUACAUGGUGGAUGCCCUGUGAUAAAGGGAAAUAAGUGGUCUUGUACAAAGUGGAUGCAUGUCCAUGAGUACAAAGUUUAAUUUAAAGAUAUGCCUUUUGAAACUGAGCGGUGACCAAUGUUUCAAUAUGUUUCCUUCAUCCUGGACUCUUUAUUGUUGGAAAUCUGGUGCUGAUUACCGUUCAAAUCGUCUACAUUUCCAAUGGUUCAAUGACAAUUUGUCAGCUCCACACAGCCUAAUCAGACUAAAACAUUCUUCGGUUGUACGAGCAGCCAGCAGCAGUGUUCAUACACUAAGCAUAGAAUAAGCAGCUCUCUUUCUACUUACAAUUAACAUCCAGUCUGGUAGUUUUGUUAACGUAGUUAUGAAAUUUGCAAUCCAUCUGUAAAAUGAACUCAUUUUGCUCGAGCAUUUACGAUUGUGAUGUGUUAUUGUAAUUUUCUUCGAAAACAUAGAUGAAGUGGUUCUCUUUCAGCGAA